AACGAACGCUGGCGGCAUGCCUAACACAUGCAAGUCGAACGAGACCUUCGGGUCUAGUGGCGCACGGGUGCGUAACGCGUGGGAACAUGCACUUAGGCUCGGAAUAACUCCCCGAAAGGGGUGCUAAUACCGGAUUAUGUCUCCGGACCAACGUUUUAUCGCCUUGGGAUGGGCCCGCGUUGGAUUAGCUAGGUGGUAGGGUAAAAGCCUACCAAGGCGACGAUCCAUAGCUGGUCUGGAAGGAUGGUCAGCCACACUGGGAGUGGGACACGGCCCAGACUUCGAAGGAGGGAGGAAUGGGGGAUACUGGACAGUGGGGUGAGGGCAGAUCCAGCUAGGCCUGUAGAGUGAUGAAGGCCGUAGGGUUGUAAAGCUCGUUUACCCGGGAUGAUAAUGACAGUACCGGGAGAAUAAGCUCCGGCUAACUCCGUG
rnacentral:rRNA from 1 species